CAGCCGCCGCGGGAAAACGUAGAUGGCAAGCGUUGUCCGGAAUUAUUGGGCGUAAAGCGCGCGCAGGCGGAUCAGUCAGUCUGUCUUAAAAGUUCGGGGCUUAACCCCGUGAUGGGAUGGAAACUGCUGAUCUAGAGUAUCGGAGAGGAAAGUGGAAUUCCUAGUGUAGCGGUGAAAUGCGUAGAUAUUAGGAAGAACACCAGUGGCGAAGGCGACUUUCUGGACGAAAACUGACGCUGAGGCGCGAAAGCCAGGGGAGCGAACGGGAUUAGAUACCCCGGUAGUCCCUGUCUCUUAUACA
rnacentral:rRNA from 1 species